rnacentral:lncRNA from 1 species
AUGAAAUCCUUCGUGAUGGUCAGGGGCAGCACCACCAGGUCCUGGCCGGGUUCUCGAGCCUGCCGGCCUGCCUUCAGCAGCUUCCCCUUAUUCAUCACCUGGGGGACAGCGUGGCCACAGGAGACUCAUACGCAUGCUGAGCAUCUCGAGACAGGCUUCCCAGCAAGGCAGAGCGGAUGCCCAGCCCGGGGACCAGAGGGGACCAGGAGGACAUCUGCAUCAUCCCAGCAGCCCACAGGGAAGGGUGCUUGCCUCCCACCCGGCCACACCUGUGGACUUCAGAGCUGCCGCACCAUGGUGGAGCCCUCUGACUCCAAGAGUGGGGGGCAGGAGGGCGUGCACAGAGGUGCAAGUGCAAGGACCCAGGUGUGCGAGUGGAAGAGCCUGGGUGUCUGGCGUGGGCCCUCUGUGCAGAAGGCAGAACCCCCGUGCAGUGUGGACCUGAAUUCCUCUCUGCCUGGGGAUGGGGCCCCUUCCACCCUGCCUGCACUCCACUGCUCUGGGGCCGAGUGGACGCACCGUGAUGCUCAGGGGCUGCCGGUUGUUGGGCGUGUUGAUGCUCAGCUUGGCCACACCGUCGUCUUGGGUGAGGGACUGCACAUUGGUUCCCUGGAUCACCACAGGGACAUGGGGGGCCGGGGAGCCAUCGGGGUUUGUCACGAACACCUGUGCAUGCCAGGGAGGGGCAGGAGGGUCAGGUCAGGCAAACCUGAUCCAGUCAGCGCUCCAGGGGGGACUUCGGGACCUCCGUAGGCCUCACCAUGAGGUCGAAGGGCAUGGCCGGCUUGAAGUACUUGGGCGUCUUGGUGAAGUGGAUCUGGUAGGGGGAGGUCACGAUGGGGAUCCCGCUGCGCUCAGCCUCCACCAUGUCGCUGCCUGAGGGGUGGACUGUGAGGGCAGCUCCCGGCCAGGCUGCCCCCCACCUUUGGGCAGGGCCGGGCCUCACCUGAGUGUAGGAUGACAGUGACCGACACGUACAGGGACUUCCCCACCAGGGCCGCGGCGUUGGAGGGCUGCACCCCGUCCAGCAGCACCUGCCUGCUCAGCACGGCCUCCCCGCUGCCGUCCUCUAUCUGGGGAGGGGAUGUGGCUCAGACAGGGCCGGGUGAGGGGGUGUAGAUGGGGUGCAGGGGGGGGGCCUCUGUCAGGUACCACGACACGGGUGAGGGACUGCGCCAGGGAGAUCCUCUGGUCACCGUCCUGGAUCCCAAAGAUGACGAAGGCCGUUCCGUCCACGUUCUUCCCAUACAGGAACCUGCCGGGCACAGGGGCUCAGGGCCGCCAGUCUCGGAAGAAAGUCUCUCCCACCUGCCACUCGCUAUGGCCAGGACCCAGGGGCUCUGUGCCCCCCCCCAUCCUCACCUAGCCAUGAUGUUGACCUCCAAGCCCCUGGGGUCAUCGAUGUAGUAGAAUUUCUCUCCAGGCUCCACCACGACCUCAAAGCUGGGCAGCACUGGGGGAGACACCGUGUCGGCAGGCAGGGGUGCAGGGCAGGGAGCGAGGGCCCCGCACCCCCCUGGCCCUGAGCUUACCAUACUCCUUCACCUCAAACUGCGCAGAGAAGACCUGCUUGGGCGAGUGCUCGUAGAAGGCCUGGAUCUUCCACUGCCCCAUGCUGGGGGAGAGGGGGAAGUGUGUGGCCAGGCUGAGGGGCCACACACCCCACCCCUCCUGGACAGCCUGACCUACUUGACCAGCUCCGGGAUGUUCCAAGACAAGGGCAAGAUGCCAUACUGGUUGUGGGAAGACAGGGUGUCCCGCUUUAUAGGGAUGCCAUCGGGGGUCUGCAAGGAGACACAGGGAUGAGCAUGGUGAAGGGGCCCUUCUGACACCAAGCUUAGCCUCCAGCACAAUUUGGUGCCACUAUUGACCCCCUCUCCCUCCAUCACAGCUAUAGGGCCUGCCAUUAAGAAAGUGGACUUAGCCUAGGUUCAAAUCUACAGUGUGCCACUCACAAGCUGUGUGACCUUGGACAAGUUAUUCAACCUCUCUGUGCUCCAUGUUCAUGUCUAGAAAAGAGAUGAUAAGGGCUCCUACCUCACUGGCUUGGGACUUAGUUCAUAUAAGCAGGAACUCAUUAGUGUCAGUGUAUCUCGGGACCCUGCUGAUUAGUAGCAUUUACUACCCACUUUUGUGCAGGACUCUGAGCAUUUGAUUAGAUCAAAGCCCACGUCAUGGCCGACAUUCGACUUUUGGCCUCCAAGAUCAGCAAGUUCGUGUUAUUCGACCUAUACAUAUACAAGUUCGUUAAACCUGGUUUUCUGGCUUCUGUUGGAGUUUAGGAAGUUCUGUGGAUAAUGUGCUCCUGCCUCAGCCUCCCGGAGUGCCGGGAUGACGGGCGUGCGUGCAGGAGGCCUGUGAGACUGGAACAGGGAGUAAGGAGGAGAAAGGGCGAGGGGAGGCUGGGGGAGAUUAGAAGCAGGUUGUCAGGGGCUUCGUGGGGAGGGAACCCUCACUAAAGUGCUCACGCGCGCCCUCUAGUGACUGCAGGCGACACCACCGAAUUAUUUUUGUCUAGCAUUGUCACCAACUCCAGGUGGGAAACAGGCUCAGGGAGGUGAAAUGACCCUGGAUUUAUCUGAACCCGGAAUCCGUGAUCUCUGGUCUCUGCCCGCCCCUCCCCGGCUUCUCUGAGUUUUUGUUUGGGUCUCUCUGCUCUGGGGCCCCUGUCCCCGGCCUCUCGCUCGGCCUGUCCAUCCCCAAGCUCUGCCCUGAUGUCCCCAGGCCCGGUGGGCUGGUACCUCGAUGAUGACAAUGACAGUCCGGCCCACGGGCAGCAGAUCGUGGUCCACGGUGAAGAUCCGAUAGAGGACUGUGAGGAGGUGGCAGAGACAGGAAGGGUGGGUGAGCCUGGGUCCCCUGCACUGCAGGCCCCUUCGGCCGGCCCGGCCCCCCAGCCGGCCCGGCCCUACCCGUGGAGCCCGGCGUGUAGAUGGUCUUGUCCGUCUGGAUGAAGAGGUACCCGCUCUGCAAGCUGACCAGCACUACCUUCUCCAGCUGCGUGCCCCCGAAGGCCGCCUGCACGAUCACGAACUUGUGCCCCUUAUCCGACCGGAACUCCUUGCUGGACGGGAUCUGGGCCAGAGCCGGGGGUGUGGUCAGGGGGUCUGCUGGUGGCCACACCCGGCUUCCAGCCUCUGACCAGACCACUGCCCCUCCUACUCUUUCUCACUACACAGCCGGCCUAUUACUCUGCUUUCCCGGUUAGCCCAGUUUGGGGGAGGGCAGGGCACCCCAGAAGGAGCAAGAGGGGGCAGCAGAGAGGGUGGGCUCUCGAGGGGGAGGGGGCUCCCAAGAGGGAGGGUUCUCUGAGAGAAAGGAGGCCGGGAGGGGAGGGGCCUGAAAAGGGGUGGGGACUCGGAGGGGAGGGGCUUAGAAGAGGAACUUAGGACCUGCCAGGAACCUCCGAAAGGGCUGGGCAGUGGGAGGAGUCAGAAGGGGGUCUCAGGGGCAGGGCACAAGGAGUUGCAGGUCUGUGCCCACCUUGAUGGUGACGGUGCCCAAGUGUCCCGUGGCACUGGUCAGCACAGUCUUCUCACUGGACAGCACUUGCUUCUUGGCCGGGAAGUCGUGGACAGUGACUGUGACCGGAACGUUGCCUUGCACUUCGUGGGCCUCUAACACUAUGGUCUCCUCGUUCUCCAGCCUCAGGAUGUUUGGAGUGAUGAUCGAGUACCUGGCAGGGGGGCUCGGAUGUCAGCCCAGGGAUGGGAGACUCCAGCCCUCAUCCGGUCAGCGUAUGUGCCUGGCCACUCCUCUGUUUCCAGGACUUUACCCAGCCCCGGGGCUUGGAGGAGAUCCAGCGACAGCCUGGGGCACCUGCCUGGCCAAGGCCUGGGCCCUGCUCCCCUGGGCAUGGCCACCUCCCGGUCCCCAAGGACAGGAUGGCAGCCACCACGACCACCCGACCCUGGCCAGUCCACCUGGGCUUUGGAAGCCUGUGGAUCCCACCAACACAUAUCCUCAAAACCAAAACCAUCAACCUCUCCAAGUUCACCAUAGCCUGAACCCCAAAUCCUAAACUAGUACAUCUUUAAACACUCCCAAAUCUAAUAAACACCGUAACCCUCAGACACCCCAAACUAUGCACACCCAAACCUACAUAUAACCAAACCUUGAAACCCAAAUCCUACAACUCCCCAAAGCUAAACCUCUAACACGCCAGCCUUAUAAAUAUAACCAUAAUCCGAACACCCCUGACGCUACACAAACCCAAAAUGCCAAUCUCUAACUCCCCCAAAUACUCUAAUCCAUCAGCCCCCCAACUGUAAAGUCCCAAAUCCUGUAAGUCUAAGCUUCCAAAUUACUCCAACCACACAAUUACACCCUAAAUCUACAGACCCUCAGUUCUACAAACAUGCAACCCCUAAGAUCACAAUACCUGGGUUCCACAAACAAACACCAUGAACCACAGGCAGCCCAGAUCGGCUAACAUUCCAGCCCGCUGACCCUGGAUGCCUGCAUGUCUCUUGAAUUCCACAAGGACCUGCACCCACAAAUGCCUGCUCCCCGCCAGGAGCUGGUUACUCACAUAGGGUCUCCCAGGGCCAGGGGGAGGCUGGCCAGCAGCAGCAGCAGGCUGGGACCUGAGGCAGGUCCCAUGGUGCAAGGAGAGCAGAUGGACAGAGGGACGAGGGACAGAAGGACCAGACGGGAGGAGUGAGAAGGGGCGGCCAGAGCUGCCUCUUAUCUGGCUCCUGAGUCCUGGACCCCACCCCCCAGCCCUCCCUUCUCCCUGUGGCCUCCUCCUUCUCUGGGGCUGCCCCAGAUUUCUCAAUACUGUUUCCUAAGUUUUCAAGCCCUGUGGCCAACAAUUUGUGGGGUGAGAAACCUGAGGGCAUGGUCCCUCCCGACACAACGUGCCCGCCCCCUGCCCUGGUGUCCCAGGGUCGAGACUGGCUGGUGAGAUUGUUCCUCAGUGCGCCCAGCUUGUAGUAGAGGAACCCCAGGGUGCAGAGAGCCUGCUUGGCCGGAGGCCUGGGGCUCAUCCCCAGCCCACUUUUGGCCCUCUGUUUAAUUUUUACUUAUUUGUUUAUUUUUUUGCCAGUCCUUGGGAUUGAAUCCAGGGCCUUAGCACUGCAUCCCCAGCACCCCUCCCCCAUUCCAUUAAAAUUUUUUUUUUUUUUAAUUUUGAGACAGAGUCUUGGUAAGUCACAAAGAUGCCCAAUCUAGGCUGGAAUUUCUGAGCCUCCUGCCUCAGCUUCCUAGGAUUGGAUUAGGUGUUUGACUUUUUUUUUUUAAGAGGGGGGUCUUGCUCUGUUGCCCAGGUUGGCCCCAAACUCCUGGGCUCACUCAGUCCUCCUGAGUAGCUGGGACUACAUGUGUAUGCCACUGUGCCUGGUUCAUGCAUUUAUUAAACAAUUUUUUUCUCUGAGUCCAUCUUAAGCUGGGAGCUAGAACCCUACUUCCAGAGGCCUCUAAGCUGAGAAAAGAGCAAGUAGGAGGGGCAGAGUCCAGCAUAGACAUUCCCAGGCCCACUGAAUGUUUACCCCAGUGGAGAAGAUGAAAUCUGCAUCUUGAGGAAUCAGAGAAGGCUUUGUGGAAGAAGGGACAUUUCAGCUGGGCUUUGAAAUAUAUAUAGGAGUUCAUUAUCCAAGGAUGCUUGUUUUCUA